GACGAACGCUGGCGGCGUGCCUAAUACAUGCAAGUAGAACGCUGAAGGAGGAGCUUGCUUCUCUGGAUGAGUUGCGAACGGGUGAGUAACGCGUAGGUAACCUGCCUGGUAGCGGGGGAUAACUAUUGGAAACGAUAGCUAAUACCGCAUAAUAGUAGAUGUUGCAUGACAUUUGCUUAAAAGGUGCAAUUGCAUCACUACCAGAUGGACCUGCGUUGUAUUAGCUAGUUGGUGAGGUAACGGCUCACCAAGGCGACGAUACAUAGCCGACCUGAGAGGGUGAUCGGCCACACUGGGACUGAGACACGGCCCAGACUCCUACGGGAGGCAGCAGUAGGGAAUCUUCGGCAAUGGACGGAAGUCUGACCGAGCAACGCCGCGUGAGUGAAGAAGGUUUUCGGAUCGUAAAGCUCUGUUGUAAGAGAAGAACGAGUGUGAGAGUGGAAAGUUCACACUGUGACG
rnacentral:rRNA from 1 species